GAUGAAGAACGCAGUGAAAUGCGAUAAGUAGUGUGAAUUGCAGAAUUCAGUGAAUCAUCGAAUCUUUGAACGCACAUUGCGCCCUUUGGUAUUCCAAAGGGCAUGCCUGUUCGAGCGUCAUUUGUACCCUCAAGCUUUGCUUGGUGUUGGGCGUCUUGUCUCUAGCUUUGCUGGAGACUCGCCUUAAAGUAAUUGGCAGCCGGCCUACUGGUUUCGGAGCGCAGCACAAGUCGCACUCUCUAUCAGCAAAGGUCUAGCAUCCAUUAAGCCUUUUUUUCAACUUUUGACCUCGGAUCAGGUAGGGAUACCCGCUGAACUUAAGCAUAUCAAAAGCGGAGGA
rnacentral:misc_RNA from 1 species